ACCUGGUUGAUUCUGCCAGUAGUCAUAUGCUUGUCUCAAAGAUUAAGCCAUGCAUGUCUAAGUAUAAGCAAUUAUACCGCGAAACUGCGAAUGGCUCAUUAUAUAAGUUAUCGUUUAUUUGAUAGUACCUUACUACUUGGAUAACCGUGGUAAUUCUAGAGCUAAUACAUGCUAAAAAUCCCGACUUCGGAAGGGAUGUAUUUAUUAGAUUAAAAACCAAUGCCCUUCGGGGCUCACUGGUGAUUCAUGAUAACUCCUCGAAUCGCAUGGCCUUGUGCCGGCGAUGGUUCAUUCAAAUUUCUUCCCUAUCAACUUUCGAUGUUUGGGUAUUGGCCAAACAUGGUUGCAACGGGUAACGGAGGGUUAGGGCUCGACCCCGGAGAAGGAGCCUGAGAAACGGCUACUACAUCCAAGGAAGGCAGCAGGCGCGCAAAUUACCCAAUCCCGACACGGGGAGGUAGUGACAAUAAAUACUGAUACAGGGCUCUUUUGGGUCUUGUAAUUGGAAUGAGUACAAUUUAAAUCCCUUAACGAGGAACAAUUGGAGGGCAAGUCUGGUGCCAGCAGCCGCGGUAAUUCCAGCUCCAAUAGCGUAUAUUAAAGUUGUUGUGGUUAAAAAGCUCGUAGUUGAACCUUGGGCCUGGCUGGCCGGUCCGCCUCACCGCGUGUACUGGUCCGGCCGGGCCUUUCCCUCUGUGGAACCCCAUGCCCUUCACUGGGUGUGGCGGGGAAACAGGACUUUUACUGUGAAAAAAUUAGAGUGCUCCAGGGCAGGCCUAUGCUCGAAUACAUUAGCAUGGAAUAAUAGAAUAGGACGUGUGGUUCUAUUUUGUUGGUUUCUAGGACCGCCGUAAUGAUUAAUAGGGACAGUCGGGGGCAUCAGUA
rnacentral:rRNA from 1 species